rnacentral:rRNA from 1 species
GUGGGGAAUAUUGGACAAUGGGCGAAAGCCUGAUCCAGCAAUGCCGCGUGAGUGAUGAAGGCCCUAGGGUUGUAAAGCUCUUUUACCAGGGAUGAUAAUGACAGUACCUGGAGAAUAAGCUCCGGCUAACUCCGUGCCAGCAGCCGCGGUAAUACGGAGGGAGCUAGCGUUGUUCGGAAUUACUGGGCGUAAAGCGCGCGUAGGCGGUUUUUUAAGUCAGAGGUGAAAGCCCAGGGCUCAACCCCGGAAUUGCCUUUGAAACUGGAAAACUUGAAUCUUGGAGAGGUCAGUGGAAUUCCGAGUGUAGAGGUGAAAUUCGUAGAUAUUCGGAAGAACACCAGUGGCGAAGGCGACUGACUGGACAAGUAUUGACGCUGAGGUGCGAAAGCGUGGGGAGCAAACAGGAUUAGAAACCCUGGUAGUCC